CCAUGUUCAUCAACAAACUCAGUUUUCACCUUUGAUUUUUCUUCGAGAUUAAAAGAGUUGAAAUAUUUUCCUUUAUUUUUUACUACAUUCAUCAUCUUCGUUUAAUCAUGACUUCUAGAGUCUACACAUACUUAAAAUGAUGAUGACACAUUGGGUAAGAACUGAAGCUAGUCAAGAAUUGAAGAGUCUCUACACAUGUAAUUGAUGAUGAAAAAGAUUGGGUGGGUGCUUAAAGUUUUCACCUGUGGUUACUUUUCCUCCGUUACAUUCGUUACCAACCGUUAAUUACAUUCCAUGAAUGAUUAACGAUACCCCCCAUGAAUUGCAAUCCGUAAAUGAAGAAGGUCAUGCUUAUGCAACAUUCAAAGACGGUUGCAACGAAUCGCCACUUAGUCUCCGGGUCCACAGCAACCCGCACAGGUGUUCAUUAGCUUCAUCUUCACCUACUCCAAAACGUUUAUAUUUCCAAAAUUGGGUAGGGGCCGCGCGCACGCAGGCCCCCUCUGCCACAAAUUAUGACGUAGGCUCUCCCACUUGGGGAGACCUUAGACAGAUGCACCACCGAAGUGCAAUGGAGGCCAUCUACCUAGGCCAUGAGCCUUUUUGAUCGCCCAUUGACCCCGUCCAGGUAAGUAUGUUUCCCAGUUCGCCCAUGCUUAUUUUUUAUAGCAGCUGGUCACAUCUCCUCUUCAGUGUUUCGACGGUGUGGGACUCAAGUUGUUAUGUAACGUCAGUCUACUUGUCAGAUAUGGCAAUCGGGAAAAUCUGAAAUGAAUUGUUGAGACUCUCACCUCUCGAGUAACCUCAUGCCUUAUAGUAUGUUGUGAUAUAGGAAAGAUUGGAUUCUGAAGGAAGGAUUCACUUCAACAGUUGGGCCACUCCUCUAGCACUCUGUUUGGCAUUGAAAUUCCAGGCACAAGUCUGCUUCUUGUCCUUGUGACUUGAGAAGCAAGCACCAAGAGGUUCUAAGAUUUUG
rnacentral:lncRNA from 1 species